rnacentral:rRNA from 1 species
UACGUAGGGGGCUAGCGUUGCUCCGGAUUUAUUGGGCGUAAAGAGCGUGUAGGCGGCCAGGUAGGUCUGCUGUGAAAACUCGAGGCUCAACCUCGAGACGUCGGCGGAAACCAUCUGGCUAGAGUCCGGAAGAGGAGAGUGGAAUUCCUGGUGUAGCGGUGAAAUGCGCAGAUAUCAGGAAGAACACCCGUGGCGAAGGCGGCUCUCUGGGACGGUACUGACGCUGAGACGCGAAAGCGUGGGGAGCGAACAGG